CCGCCCGGCCCCGCGCGGGCGCUGCCGGAGCCGUUGCCGCGGUGACGAUCGGGACGCGGGCAUGGCGGAGGGCGGGCAGGGCGCAGAGCAUGAAGAGGAACAGCCUCAAUUUACAGAUGAUCCUCAGUCAAAAGAAGAUCCUGAAUCAAAAGAAGAAUCAGUGCCUUUGGAAGCAGAAAUUUCUAUGGAACAACUUUUUUCUGCCCCUGCACCCCAAUAUCUGCCACCUGUACUUGGGGAAACUCCCCCUGGAGAACCCCCUGAUCCAAAAAAAUGUAAGUAGGAGUAUAUUAUCUUGAACCCUGCUGUGAU
rnacentral:lncRNA from 1 species